rnacentral:rRNA from 1 species
GGCUCAGAUUGAACGCUGGCGGCAGGCCUAACACAUGCAAGUCGAACGGUAACAGGAAGCAGCUUGCUGCUUCGCUGACGAGUGGCGGACGGGUGAGUAAUGUCUGGGAAACUGCCUGAUGGAGGGGGAUAACUACUGGAAACGGUGGCUAAUACCGCAUAACGUCGCAAGACCAAAGAGGGGGACCUUCGGGCCUCUUGCCAUCAGAUGUGCCCAGAUGGGAUUAGCUUGUUGGUGAGGUAACGGCUCACCAAGGCGACGAUCCCUAGCUGGUCUGAGAGGAUGACCAGCCACACUGGAACUGAGACACGGUCCAGACUCCUACGGGAGGCAGCAGUGGGGAAUAUUGCACAAUGGGCGCAAGCCUGAUGCAGCCAUGCCGCGUGUAUGAAGAAGGCCUUCGGGUUGUAAAGUACUUUCAGCGGGGAGGAAGGUGUUGUGGUUAAUAACCGCAGCAAUUGACGUUACCCGCAGAAGAAGCACCGGCUAACUCCGUGCCAGCAGCCGCGGUAAUACGGAGGGUGCAAGCGUUAAUCGGAAUUACUGGGCGUAAAGCGCACGCAGGCGGUCUGUCAAGUCGGAUGUGAAAUCCCCGGGCUCAACCUGGGAACUGCAUUCGAAACUGGCAGGCUUGAGUCUUGUAGAGGGGGGUAGAAUUCCAGGUGUAGCGGUGAAAUGCGUAGAGAUCUGGAGGAAUACCGGUGGCGAAGGCGGCCCCCUGGACAAAGACUGACGCUCAGGUGCGAAAGCGUGGGGAGCAAACGGGAUUAGAUACCCUGGUAGUCCACGCCGUAAACGAUGUCUCUUGGAGGUUGUGCCUUGAGGCGUGGCUUCCGGAGCUAACGCGUUAAGUAGACCGCCUGGGGAGUACGGCCGCAAGGUUAAAACUCAAAUGAAUUGACGGGGGCCCGCACAAGCGGUGGAGCAUGUGGUUUAAUUCGAUGCAACGCGAAGAACCUUACCUGGUCUUGACAUCCACAGAAGAAUCCAGAGAUGGAUUUGUGCCUUCGGGAACUGUGAGACAGGUGCUGCAUGGCUGUCGUCAGCUCGUGUUGUGAAAUGUUGGGUUAAGUCCCGCAACGAGCGCAACCCUUAUCCUUUGUUGCCAGCGAUUAGGUCGGGAACUCAAAGGAGACUGCCAGUGAUAAACUGGAGGAAGGUGGGGAUGACGUCAAGUCAUCAUGGCCCUUACGACCAGGGCUACACACGUGCUACAAUGGCGCAUACAAAGAGAAGCGAUCUCGCGAGAGCAAGCGGACCUCAUAAAGUGCGUCGUAGUCCGGAUUGGAGUCUGCAACUCGACUCCAUGAAGUCGGAAUCGCUAGUAAUCGUGGAUCAGAAUGCCACGGUGAAUACGUUCCCGGGCCUUGUACACACCGCCCGUCACACCAUGGGAGUGGGUUGCAAAAGAAGUAGGUAGCUUAACCUUCGGGAGGGCGCUUACCACUUUGUGAUUCAUGACUGGGGUGAAGUCGUAACAAGGU